AAGUCGUAACAAGGUUUCCGUAGGUGAACCUGCGGAAGGAUCAUUAUUGAAUAAAUCUGACGUGGUUGUCGCUGGCUCCCCCGGGAGCAUGUGCACGCCCGUCACCUUUAUUUCUCCACCUGUGCACACACUGUAGGCCUGGAUACCUCUCGUCGCAAGGCGGAUGCGUGGCUUGCUGUCGCUUUCGAAAGAAGGCCGGCUUGCCAUGAAUUUCCAGGUCUAUGAUUUCUUACACACCCCAAACUGAAUGUUAUGGAAUGUCAUCUCAAGGCCUUGUGCCUAUAAACCUAUACAACUUUCAGCAACGGAUCUCUUGGCUCUC
rnacentral:misc_RNA from 1 species